GUGAGUGCCUGAACCCGCAUCCCGCCCAUGCCUUAGGGACCCCUCUUCGCCCAGCCAAGCCCGGGGCGGGGAGGAAAGUCCCCCUCAGCCGCACUCGGGCCCCCAACCCGGCCAAGGGGUCGCCAACUCGCGGCACUUUCUGCCUGUUUGUUUUCGCUCAGUACUCACAGUUUAGAUGCUAAGCCGGCUCCUCUUGCACUCACUUCCUUUGUGUCUCUCUCUCUCUUUCUCUCUCUCUCCCCCUCACCAAUCUCUUUCUUCCCUCCUUGUCCGAUUCUCUGCUGUAGCUUCCAGUGGAGAAAAAUAAUUAUUCUUCAAUGGGUUAGCACGGGGCGCACGCACACACGCGCGCGCACACACACCCCGCCGAGGUACCCAAUCAAUGCACAAAUCUUCGGGGUCCCUUUAACCUCUGCGGAUGACUCCGGGAGUUAAUUAUGAAGCCUAUUUCGGCGCGGCAUAAAUAUGCAUUAAGCCCCCCAGCCCCGGGGCCGGCGUGCCCGGCCCACCCCGCCCUCCGCGCCCCCCGACGGCCGCGGUCAGCCGGCAUUCCGGAGCAGCGCGUCGGAGCUGCAACUUCGCGCCUAAGCGCCCGCACCUCGCAGCCCGGCGGGCGGGAGACAAAAGCUGCGGCGCCGCCGCCGGAGGCCGCGCGGCCAAGGAGAGUCCUCAUUGCCACCUAAGAGUCUGGACUGUGUGUAGCUUUAACUGACCGUCCACUUUCCUGGAUGACAGUAUCAGGCAUGGCAAUACCAUCCCUCAACCCAUACUUCACUGAUAUAAUAAAUACAAAUGGAUGCAAACAGGAAUUAAUGGAGAAUUCAGAGAAAUCAGAGCUUCUACCCCACCACCCUCUGUCAUUGCACUGCCCUGGCACAUGGGCACAACGUCUUCUGAGAAGGGACACAAACUGCUCAGACAUGCGGCAUCCUCCCUGUAGUCCUCCUUUCCUGGCCAGUUGGAGAACGAUCUCUGCCUUUCAGUUCUGAACAGCUUCCAGCAUGCCCCAUAGGGAACAUUUUGGAUUUGAAUGAAGAGCAUAAAAAUGUGGUCAGCAUAUUGGCCUUGGUAUUUGAUUUUCUUUUUUCCAUGCAACCGGCCCCAGGAGGUGACUGACAAGUUGGGCCAAGUGCACUGAAAGCCCUGUCUCGGCUGGCCCAUAACUCCUGAGCUACACAGACCCCUAAGGACCCCGUGAGCCAGCAGAGAGCCAUAAAUCCAGCAAGCUGGAGGCUGGGAGCUCACUGAUUGCACUGGGGAAAAGCAGCCUGAUCUGAUUGCUAUGUGAGCUGGAGAGAGAAAAGGUGGUAACUGGAGUGCUGGAAAUACAACGACUUUGGAACAAAAUGAAGCAACAGAGGAAUGGCAGGAGGGACUGUGGUUUUCUCAUCUGUACAACAAAGGGGCUGGAUUGGACUGCCUCUGAAGCCCUUUCAUCACAGAAAUUCUGUGUUUCUCUUUGUAACUAAGGUCAAACAGAUGUGGGAGGGUGUCAGGAUGGGAAAGCAAGAUCGGGGGACCCAGAGAAGCCAGAAGAGGCAACGAGGAGGCCAACAUAUUUACUGCCCAAUUACUAUCACAUUUUUUGGUGUGUGUGUGAGACAGGGUCUCACUCUGUCUCCCAGACUGGAGUGAAGUGGUGUGAUCUCGGCUCACUGCAAACUCCGCCUCCCAGGUUCAAGCGAUGCUCAUACCUCAGCCUCCUGAGUAGCUGGGAUUACAGGCACAUGCCACCACACCUGGCUAUUUUUUUAUUUUUAGUAGAGAUGGGGUUUCACCAUGUUGGCCAGGCCGGUCUCGAACUCCUGGCCUUAAGCCACUCACCUGCUCAGCCUCCCAAAGUGCUGGGAUUACAGGUGUGAGCCACUGCACCCGGCCAACUAUCACAUUUAAUUCUCAGAAUAACAAGUGAGAUAGAUAUAGUUAUCGCUAUUUUACAGAGAACACUGAAGUACAGAGGCUACAUUAAUAUCUCAAGGUCACAAGGCUCCGUGCUCAGGCUGGGAUUCCAACCCAGGCAGUCUGACCCAGAGCCUGCACGCUUGGUCAUGAAGCCCUCUCGCCUGAGUAUGCAAUGUGACCAGGAAAACCCUGGAGGAAACAUGUACACAACUUGUGUUUCCUUACUUUUAAGGGUAAGAGUGGAAAACAGAUAGUCCCCAUGGAGUAGAUUGUCCAAAAUACACAUCUGUCUUCUGGGAAAGAGGAGUGUGUGUGUGUGUGUGUGUGUGUGUGUGUGUGUCCAUAGGGGAUGUAACAGACAGAACCAAGAAGCAUGUAGGUGAAAAUAUUUAAUAGGGAUGAAUGUAAAUUCCUGUACCUGGGCACAGAAUCCCCAUUAUAUAAAAAUAGAAUAGAGAGUUAGGAUCAGAAAGCAUCAAUUUAGGGGCUUCACCUGACAGUAAGCUCAGGUUGAACACCAGUGUGGUGAGGCUUCCAGAAAAGCCCACCACAGGGCUGCAUCAACAGAAGGGAAGUGUCCCACACCAGGACAGAACCCUUAGACCAUUCGCGCUAGGUUGAGUUCCAGGCCCCUUGCUAUAAGAGGGACAGAGCCAGGCCGGAGAGGAUAAAGAGGAGAGCAACAGGGAUAGUGAUGGACAUCUGAGGAAGAGGUAAAACACCAGUUGAAAGAACCAGGCCAGACAUGGUGGCUCAUGCCUGUAAUCCCAGCACUCUGGGAGGCCAAGGCAGGUGGAUCACCUGAGGUCAGGAGUUUGAGACCAGCCUGGCUAACAUGGUGAAAUCCCGUCUCUACUGAAAAUACAAAAAUUAGUCAGGUGCAGUGGUGGGCACCUGUAAUCCCAGCUACUUGGAAGGCUGAGGCAGGAGAAUUGCUUGAACCCAGGAGACAGAGGUUGCAGUGAGCCAAGAUUGUGCCACUGCACUCCAGCGUGGGCAACGGAGAGACUCUGUCAUAAAAAAAAAGAAAAGAAAAAGAAAGAACCAGGUGACAUUGUGCAAGUUACACCAUACAUCACAACGUCAGUUUUCCUAUCUGCAAAAGGGGUUUAUUAGUAGGGACGGCAUAGAGAUUAAAUGAGGUAAUGCAUGUAAAGUGCUUAGCUGGGGGCUGGACAUAAUAAACGUUAGCUGCACCAGCCGUUAUUAAACCCUGAGCAUGCUCACCUCAGACAAGGGGUGCAUCAGGGACCUGGCUGGAGGAUCAAGCACAGGGAUCUCCAUGGCAUGGGUCCAGAGUCACAGCUCUGCAUGUAGCUUAGUGAAGCCAAAGGCCCCACAAGUUGUUCCUCAUCCUCUGACAUAAGUUCUAUUAAACCUCAGCAGCUCAUUCUUCUUGGUGGUAGUGAGUUCUCUUAGUGAUCAAAGCACAAAGGUGUCUGGCUAGCACUGUUCCCUCCUUUUGGGCAGGCUAGUUGGGUGGGCAGGGAGUGCAGGGGCCAUGGGACCAGCAGGGCCCCCAGUGACUGCCAAGGUCCAAGGCACCUCCUGCUGGCUCAUUCAGCCCCCUCCUGUUCUGGUCCUUCCCCUUCCCCAGCCCACAGCCCCAUCUUGUCCUCCUCCACCCUCCUUGCUCUCUUGCUGGGAGCAGGGACAGCAAUGCUAGUCUCCCCUUUGACGCUUUUCCUGAACAUUGGCUGAGCAUCAGUUUCCUACACUGGCAGAAGCGAGACACACAGUAGGCUUUCAAGGACAGAGAGGAGGAGGACUGAAUGCUUAGAAGACAGCAAAGUACAUCACAGGCUGUUGGGUUGGAAAGCACCUGCAGGAUCACCUAGUUUAAUCCUUAGACUUGGUGGUUUUCUAACUGUACUGAGCAUAGAAUUAUUUGCGGUAGAUUGUUUAAAUGCAGAUUCCCGGGCCCUACGUACUGAAAUACAGUCUCUUGGGUGGAUUCCCAGGAAUUUCAUUUGUAACCAGCUCCAGCAGGUGAUAGCCCAUGCAGGUGGUCUGGGUGGACAUUUUGAGGAACACUGCCCUUAUUCCUGACUCCUCUCCAUAUUUCUACUACAUUCCUGCCACAUAGCCAUGAGAAAACUCACAGAAAAGAGUUCACAGAACGCCUCUGCUCUCAACUCAUUCACAGUCUAGCUGGAGACAGAGGACAGCCACAGGAGCAGUUAGUGCUCAGGUCUUGACCGAGGGCCUGCCAUGGGAGUUCAGAGGCAGGCUGGCCCAACUCAAGGCUCCGGGAGGAGACAAGGUUUGAGCAGGGCCAGGACAACCGGAUAUGGUUUUCUUCCCUAGUCAGCUAAGAUCUGUUCUUAGUGGAGGUGCUCAAUUAGCCAAGCUCAUGAAUUCUGCAUGUCUGACUGACUUUCAUCCACCUCCCUCUCCUCCCUUCAGAUGGAGCCCUCUGCUCUCUGGGAUGUAAUUACGAUAUCUGGCCUGUUUUAAUGAAGGCAAAAAUAUUCAGUAUUUGUAUGCGACUUCUCCCAUGUUGGAGAGGGUGGGAGGGGGCAGGGCAGGGAGGCGGAGCCUUGGGAGAAUGAGAGACUAAUAACCGCACCUUUGCACUACCAUCUAGCAUCUCAGUUCACAAAGUCCAUUCGCAAGUAUUUUCUCAUGGAAUCUAUGGCCCUACCACGGUGGCCAAGUGUUUUAGAACCAUUUGUGCCAGCAAGGUGUGUCUGCAUGGUGUUUUAAAUGAUGUUGACAUUAUGUCAGCUCAAGUAAAUCAAUAUUUCCAUGUCAACCAACUCAUUUAGCUGAGAGUUCACAUACCAGGAUAUCAGUUAACUUACAUCAAAAAUGUUUCAUUAGGAAGUCAGUUUUUAUUUCUCUUAUUGUUCAUGGUGAUGUUCACUGACCUAUUCCUAGCAUGUUACACUAACCUUGAACUGUUGAUUGGAAUAAGCACAAUUGUUUUACAAACCACUAGAAAAAUAAAGAGUUUUAUUAGUUACUAUACAACCAUUGGUUGUAAACUAUGUGCCAAUUUCAAAGAUACUAAAAUUUGAAAAAUAAUGCAUGUUUAAAUCUGUAAAAUGGGCCAGGCACACUGGCUCAUGCCUGUAAUCCCAGCACUUUGGGAGGCCGAGGCAAGCAGAUCACUUCAGGUCAGGAGUUCAAGACCAGAAUGGCCAACAUGGAGAAUCCCCGCCUCUGCUAAAAAUACAAAAAUUAGCCAGGUGUGGUAGCAGUGCCUGUAAUCCCAGCUACUCGGGAGGCUGAGGCAGGAGAAUCACUUGAACCUGGGAGGUGGAGGUUGCAGUAAGCCAAGAUCACACCACUGUACUCCAGGCUGGGCGACAGAGCAAGACUCUAUCUAAAAAAGAAUAAAUAAAUAAAAAUAAAUAAAUAAAUCAGGAAAAUGGUCUAGGUGACAAUGGACACAACAAUAAACAUUAGUCCACCUGACUUUGGCACAUGAAUUUUUUUUUUUUGAGACGGAGUCUCUGUCGCCCAGGCUGGAGUGCAGUGGCGCGAUCUCGGC
rnacentral:lncRNA from 10 species